GGGCCGCUAGCUCAGUUGGUAGAGCAGCUGACUCUUAAUCAGUUGGUCCGGGGUUCGAAUCCCUGGCGGCCCA
rnacentral:tRNA from 1 species